rnacentral:rRNA from 1 species
UAGGGAAUAUUGCAAAAUGGGCGAAAGCCCGAUGCAGCAACGCCGCGUGGGCGAUGAAGGCCUUCGGGUCGUAAAGCCCUUUUGAGGGGAUGAGGAAGGACAGUACCCUCAGAAUAAGCCUCGGCUAACUACGUGCCAGCAGCCGCGGUAAAACGUAGGAGGCGAGCGUUAUCCGGAUUUACUGGGCGUAAAGCGCGUGCAGGCGGAUUGGAGAGUUGGAUGUGAAAGCUCCCGGCUUAACUGGGAGAGGUCGUUCAAUACUUCCAGUCUUGAGUGCAGUAGAGGGAAGGGGAAUUCCGGGUGUAGUGGUGAAAUGCGUAGAUAUCCGGAGGAACACCAGUGGCGAAAGCGGCUUCCUGGACUGUAACUGACGCUCAGACGCGAAAGCUAGGGUAGCAAACG